GCUUCUAUGGUGAAGUCACAUAAUUGACUUCUUUGAUGAAGUUGCUGAUCUGGCCCAAUAAGAAAGCAAUGUUGACUUAGUCAGUGCCACAUAAAAUUAUACAGUACACAUAUUUACUAUGUAUCUCUAUGUACCCUCAUAGAUCAAGUGAGUGUUAACCGUUUGAUUUAUGACAUGUGGCAUAAUACUAGAAGAGAUUAAAACAUCAAAAUUAUUAUUUAUUCAACAAAAAAAAAGAACAUAAUAUUAAAGAAAAAAUAUACAAC
rnacentral:lncRNA from 1 species